CGCGGUCGGCCUCCGCCAGAGUGCAAUGUGUGAUUUGUCUGUGAUUGACGAUUCCUUGCAAGAGGAAACGGAGAUGACGAUGCUAAUCGAUGAGGAUCCCGGCGAAAAAGCCGUGGCCAGUCUGUCGGACGAGUUUCUGGAGGCGCUGCA